CUUUCUAGAAUGUGCUCUCAUGCAGAGGGAGAAUUGAAUCCUCCAUUUUGUCAAAAGGUGCCAGAAUAGAGCUGAUGCAGAUUAAUGUGGUCUUUUGAGAACAAUAUUUAUAACAAACAAAAAACACGAUUUAACACGGAUUUGGUCAGCUAUUUUUGUUCCUGUGGAAACGAGAGUUCUGGAUAUUCAACUGAUGACAAGCCCCUCAAGGAUCCCCAAGAAUCUGGACACUAAUUGACUGAGUAGGCCCAAAACUUCAAAUUUUCUUCAAUUUAAGGAUGGCUGCAGUAUUGAGAGAUCUACCUGGAAUGACUGACAACAUGGAUCUAUUCUGGAGUGGGUUGGAUUUGCAUAUUGCUCUGCAGAUGACAGACUGAUGUCUGAAUCUCCCACUAUCUCGCUAUUUGGACCUGGUGCUGUGGAUGUGUGGUUCCACUUACACGGUUGAGGAGGUCAUCGUCUCUCUCCACUAAACCAAGCCCCCUGACAAGAUACAGCCAUGAGUCACCAGUCUUUCCUCAGGCAAGGAAAUCUGUUUCGAACAGCGCGGACCUAACAGCAAAAGUAAGGGACCCUUCCUUCAUUUCUGUUCGGACUGCUUUAAAGAAGUUCCCCAUUCUCCGGUCCCUAUCUUUAGAGUCCAAUCCUGAGAUAGUUCCUGUCCGUGAGUCCAUUCCAGUGGAUGUAAUCUCUGAAUCCAUUCCAGUAUGAGAAAUCUCCACAUCAGUUCCAGAGAGAGAAAGUCAUCAGUCCCGCCCUGUCAUGGCCGCCAUUCCAGAGUCUCGUCCCGUCAUGGCCGCCAUUUCAGAGUCUAGCCUGUGAGGGCUGCUGCGCCUGAGCCCUCAGCCAAAAUGGCCGUGAGCUGCCGGCUCCUCCCUGGCUCCCUGAACAGCUGGUGCCUCCCUGGCUCCCUGAGCUGCCGCCGCAUCCCUGGUCACCUGACACAUCUCCAAGACGAUCACCACAUACAUUGUUCUCACCGUCAUUCAUCCUCGUAGAUCCUAUCCUAAUCAUCCGACUGCUUCCCAUCCAUCUCUACAAAGAAACAGAGACUGUUACUACAGAGUUAAGUUCUUUCCAACGAUUUACAUUCCAUAUACUCACCUUUGAUUCACCUGAUCCCAGCUACCAAUGUCAAUAAACAUUGUAAAUGAUAUUACCUGUGUUGUCUCCUUCUGUAUGCUGACAAUAAUAGUAAUAUAACUGUUGUAAGGUCAAUUCAAAAUGUGUUCAUUCAUAAACAGAUAAAAAAAAAAAAAGAAAAAGGAAGAAUGAAGCAAAUAACACCCAUCUCCCAAUCACCUGUCAAUAUUUAUCUUUUACUCUGCAAAAGUACAGUGUUAGAUACUGUAAAGCAUCACUGC